rnacentral:rRNA from 1 species
AUGGCUCUUAGAGAUAUUCUUGUGAAAUAUGAGACUGCCUCUGGCCAGAAGGUGAAUCUGAAUAAGUCCUCCAUUUUCUUUGGGAAAGGUUGUUCGGAGGAGAAUAAGUCACUAUGGAAACAAACAGUGGGGAUUCAGUCGGAAGCUUUGAGUGAGAAGUAUCUUGGGCUACCAACACAGGUUGGGAGAUCCAAGGAGGGGACUUUCAAAUACCUUACGGAAAGUUCAAAGAAGAAAGUG